AUCGGUAUGCUUAACACAUGCAAGUUGAAUGUUUUUAAAACAUAGCGAACGGGUGAGUAACACGUGAAUUAUCUACCUUUUAAUUCGGAAUAAUUAGUUUUCUAAAAAUUCGGAAUAAAUAAAUUAAAGUUUUUUAACGUUAAAAGAUGAGUUUGCGCAAGAUUAUGGUAGUUGGUAGUUUAAAAGACUACAAAGCCUAUUAUCUUUAGCUGGUUUGAAAGAAUGAUCAGCCACAUUGGGACUGAGACACGGCCCAAACUUUUUUAAAGGCAGCAGU